rnacentral:rRNA from 1 species
AUUGAACGCUGGCGGCAGGCCUAACACAUGCAAGUCGAGCGGAUGAAGGGAGCUUGCUCCUGGAUUCAGCGGCGGACGGGUGAGUAAUGCCUAGGAAUCUGCCUGGUAGUGGGGGAUAACGUCCGGAAACGGGCGCUAAUACCGCAUACGUCCUGAGGGAGAAAGUGGGGGAUCUUCGGACCUCACGCUAUCAGAUGAGCCUAGGUCGGAUUAGCUAGUUGGUGGGGUAAAGGCCUACCAAGGCGACGAUCCGUAACUGGUCUGAGAGGAUGAUCAGUCACACUGGAACUGAGACACGGUCCAGACUCCUACGGGAGGCAGCAGUAGGGAAUAUUGGACAAUGGGCGAAAGCCUGAUGCAGCCAUGCCGCGUGUGUGAAGAAGGUCUUCGGAUUGUAAAGCUCUUUAAGUUGGGAGGAAGGGCAGUAAGUUAAUACCUUGAUGUUUUGACGUUACCAACAGAAUAAGCACCGGCUAACUUCGUG